rnacentral:rRNA from 1 species
GAUGGACGCUGGCGGCGUGCCUAAUACAUGCCAGUCGAGCGAACAGAUGAGGAGCUUGCUCCUCUGACGUUAGCGGCGGACGGGUGAGUAACACGUGGAUAACCUACCUAUAAGACUGGGAUAACUUCGGGAAACCGGAGCUAAUACCGGAUAAUAUAUUGAACCGCAUGGUUCAAUAGUGAAAGACGGUUUUGCUGUCACUUAUAGAUGGAUCCGCGCCGCAUUAGCUAGUUGGUAAGGUAACGGCUUACCAAGGCAACGAUGCGUAGCCGACCUGAGAGGGUGAUCGGCCACACUGGAACUGAGACACGGUCCAGACUCCUACGGGAGGCAGCAGUAGGGAAUCUUCCGCAAUGGGCGAAAGCCUGACGGAGCAACGCCGCGUGAGUGAUGAAGGUCUUCGGAUCGUAAAACUCUGUUAUUAGGGAAGAACAAAUGUGUAAGUAACUAUGCACGUCUUGACGGUACCUAAUCAGAAAGCCACGGCUAACUACGUG